AAGUCAAGAUCGGACUUUGGGCCGGUCUGCGACGAACUUGGGCUGAGCCCAUAUAUCACGAGCCCACUCGCAUGGCAGGCCCAAAUUCUCUCUUCCUUCCCUCUCCCUCUUCGCGGGGGUCUUAGCUCGCUUCUCCAGCGCCCCAUUCUCUCUCUAAGGGUUUUUCGGCGAUCCAGAGAAACGGUCAUUGCCGAUCAGAGUUUCUGAAACCGGCUUACUUCUGGAAAAGGAGUAAUCGGCAGAUGCCGAUGUGAAAGUGAUAUCGCUUUCCACAGAUGAGUUCACCCGAGAGCGCAGGCAAGACCUCCAGAGGGUGUUCCGCAACUUCGACCCCAAUCUUCGGACCUAAGAGAAGAAGGCGGUGGAGUACCGCGUUUUAAAUGCUUCUGAUUCAGUGAGCUUACCCUGAGCUCCGCUAUCUCCGUGCGCCACCGGUUUUAAAUACUUCCGAUUCAGAGAGCUUACCCUGCUUCGCUAUCUCCGCGCACAUGGCUGCCAUCCCGAGCUUCGCUAUCUGUGCGCGCAUACCACCAUCAUGACCUGGGAUCCCACCAUUGUGCGAGUUCUUCCCUUGGAGCCCCUAGCAACUCGUGUUGGAGGUCUCCCAUGCUGGUCAGCUUCGCUAUCUUCACGCGCAUGACCGCCAUCCUUGAGUUUCGCUAUCUCCGCAUGCAUGGCUGCCAUCAUGGCAUGGGAUGGUACCGUUGUGCGAGUUCUUCCCUUAGAGCCUCCAACAAUAACUCCGAUCUUCCACGCCAGUUGAGCUCUUACACCGCAAUGAGCUCCUCUUAGCAAUGAGCUCCUCCCUUCUGGCGUCUACUUCGUCCACAGUCUAGAUCUGGUCAUCGAUCGAUCCUUGGAUAUUGCGACGAACAACUCUAGCUUCGUCAUCCAUGUGUAAGAUCCUCCAUUGGAUCCCUUGAACUCGAUCAUCACAGGUUUUUUUCCCUUGGCAGCGCCCUUCUCGACGUCCUCCCACAAUCAACGCAGUCACCACUCAUGGCGAGAUCCUCAAUCGGAUCGUGGAUCAACCAUUGCGUUUGAUGGCGAGAUCCUCAAUCUCAGAUCAUGGAUCAGCCAUUAUGCUUGAAACAACUGUUGCUCUGAUAUCACUAGUCACGGGCUGAUCGAUCUGAGCCAAUCUUAUUCGUGCAACUCUAGGGGCUAUUGUGAACUAAUCACAGGGUGAUCGAUUUGAGCCAAUCUUAAGGAUAGAGAGAAACUCGAUCCAAUCUACUUGUGUAGCCUUAAGGAUAGAGAGAAACUUUAGAAGUUUUGGAUUGUAUUUACUUGUGAUAUGAAUGAGAUGAGUACAAUGAGAGAGGAGACCUUAUAACAAGGCAAAUCGUAUCA